AGGGCACCACCAGGAGUGGAGCCUGCGGCUUAAUUUGACUCAACACGGGGAAACUUACCCGGCCUGGACACUGGAAGGAUUGACAGAUUGAGAGCUCUUUCUUGAUUCAGUGGGUGGUGGUGCAUGGCCGUUCUUAGUUGGUGGAGCGAUUUGUCUGGUUAAUUCCGAUAACGAACGAGACUCUAGCCUAUUAAAUAGGCUCUCGGCUUUUAAACGCCGGGAGGACUUCUUAGAGGGACAGGUGGCGGUUCAGCCGCACGAAAGAGAGCAAUAACAGGUCUGUGAUGCCCUUUGUUGUCCGGGGCCGCACGCGCGCUACACUGAAGGGAUCAGCGUGCUUUACGUUCCUGCUCCGACCGGAGUGGGGAACCCAGUGAACCUUCUUCGUGAUUGGGAUAGAAGAUUGUAAUUAUUCUUCUUGAACGAGGAAUUCCCAGUAAAUGCGAGUCAUAAGCUCGCGUUGAUUACGUCCCUGCCCUUUGUACACACCGCCCGUCGCUACUACCGAUUGAACGAUUU
rnacentral:rRNA from 1 species